rnacentral:rRNA from 1 species
AGUGAACGCUGGCGGUAGGCCUAACACAUGCAAGUCGAACGGCAGCACAGUAAGAGCUUGCUCUUACGGGUGGCGAGUGGCGGACGGGUGAGGAAUACAUCGGAAUCUACUUUUUCGUGGGGGAUAACGUAGGGAAACUUACGCUAAUACCGCAUACGACCUACGGGUGAAAGCAGGGGAUCUUCGGACCUUGCGCGAUUGAAUGAGCCGAUGUCGGAUUAGCUAGUUGGCGGGGUAAAGGCCCACCAAGGCGACGAUCCGUAGCUGGUCUGAGAGGAUGAUCAGCCACACUGGAACUGAGACACGGGCCAGACUCCUACGGGAGGCAGCAGUGGGGAAUAUUGGACAAUGGGCGCAAGCCUGAUCCAGCCAUACCGCGUGGGUGAAGAAGGCCUUCGGGUUGUAAAGCCCUUUUGUUGGGAAAGAAAAGCAGCAGGUUAAUACCCCGCUGUUCUGACGGUACCCAAAGAAUAAGCACCGGCGAACUUCGU